rnacentral:rRNA from 1 species
AACGAACGCUGGCGGCAGGCCUAACACAUGCAAGUCGAGCGGACCCUUCGGGGUUAGCGGCGGACGGGUGAGUAACGCGUGGGAAUAUGCCCUUCUCUACGGAAUAGUCCCGGGAAACUGGGGGUAAUACCGUAUACGCCCUUUGGGGGAAAGAUUUAUCGGGGAAGGAUUAGCCCGCGUUGGAUUAGGUAGUUGGUGGGGUAAUGGCCUACCAAGCCGACGAUCCAUAGCUGGUUUGAGAGGAUGAUCAGCCACACUGGGACUGAGACACGGCCCAGACUCCUACGGGAGGCAGCAGUGGGGAAUGGUAGACAAUGGGGGCAACCCUGAUCUAGCCAUGCCGCGUGAGUGAUGAAGGCCUUAGGGUUGUAAAGCUCUUUCAGCUGGGAAGAUAAUGACGGUACCAGCAGAAGAAGCCCCGGCUAACUCCGUG